AGAGUUUGAUCCUGGCUCAGAACGUACGCUGGCGGCACGCCUAACACAUGCAAGUCGAACGAAGUAGCAAUACUUAGUGGCAGACGGGUGAGUAACAUGUAGGUAUCUGCCCUUUGGCCUGGAAUAACACGAGGAAACUUGUGCUAAUACCGGAUAAGUCUUUACGGAGAAAGCUUUAUGCACCAUUGGAUGAGCCUGCACUUGAUUAGUUUGUUGGUGGGGUAAUGGCCUACCAAGACUGUGAUCAAUAGCUGAUUUGAGAGGAUGAUCAGCCACAUUGGGACUGAGACACGGCCCAAACUCCUACGGGAGGCAGCAGUGGGGAAUCUUGCACAAUGGAGGAAACUCUGAUGCAGUGAUGCCGCGUGAGUGAAGAAGGCCCUUGGGUUGUAAAGCUCUUUCGUCGGGGAAGAAAAUGACUGUACCCGAAUAAGAAGGUCCGGCUAACUUCGUGCCAGCAGCCGCGGUAAU
rnacentral:rRNA from 1 species